CCACAUCACAUAUGAUCACCAAAGUUAAGCAAUGAUGAGCUUGGUCAGUAGCUUGAUUGGUGACCACUUGGGAAUAUCACGUGCUGUAAG